rnacentral:rRNA from 1 species
CCCUUAGAUGUCCGGGGCCGCACGCGCGCUACACUGAAGGAAUCAGCGUGGCUUUCUCCCUGACCCGAAAGGGUUGGGAAACCCGUUGAAUCUCCUUCGUGAUAGGGAUUGGGGCUUGAAAUUGUUCCCCAUGAACGAGGAAUUCCCAGUAAGCGCGAGUCAUAAGCUCGCGUUGAUUACGUCCCUGCCCUUUGUACACACCGCCCGUCGCUACUACCGAUUGAGUGAUCCGGUGAAUAAUUCGGACUGCAGCAGUGUUCGGUCACGAACGUUGCAGCGGAAAGUUUAGUGAACCUUAUCACUUAGAGGAAGGAGAAGUCGUAACA